AUGCAUCUCUGACAUGUUGGCUGCUAAGGCUUCCACUAUAGAUGCAAGAAAAAAAGGUCCUUGCGCUUUCUGUCUAGUUGUGGCAGCCAAGACUGAACGGGGGUACAGAGGA
rnacentral:snoRNA from 1 species